rnacentral:rRNA from 1 species
GAUGAACGCUGUCGGCGUGCCUAAUACAUGCAAGUCGAGCGAACAGACGAGGAGCUUGCUCCUCUGACGUUAGCGGCGGACGGGUGAGUAACACGUGGAUAACCUACCUAUAAGACUGGGAUAACUUCGGGAAACCGGAGCUAAUACCGGAUAAUAUAUUGAACCGCAUGGUUCAAUAGUGAAAGACGGUUUUGCUGUCACUUAUAGAUGGAUCCGCGCCGCAUUAGCUAGUUGGUAGGUAACGGCUUACCAAGGCAACGAUGCGUAGCCGACCUGAGAGGGUGAUCGGCCACACUGGAACUGAGACACGGUCCAGACUCCUACGGGAGGCAGCAGUAGGGAAUCUUCCGCAAUGGGCGAAAGCCUGACGGAGCAACGCCGCGUGAGUGAUGAAGGUCUUCGGAUCGUAAAACUCUGUUAUUAGGGAAGAACAAAUGUGUAAGUAACUAUGCACGUCUUGACGGUACCUAAUCAGAAAGCCACGGCUAACUACGUG